rnacentral:lncRNA from 1 species
CCUAGGAACAACCUUUGGUCUUGUUUCAGGGCCAUGUUGUCUUGGCACUUGUAAACAGAAAAGAAACAAGUCAAAGACUAAAUAUAACUGGGUGGCUAAAAGUAGAUCAGGAAAGCAGGGAAGCAAGUGGUGUUUAUUACUCAGCUAUGACAGCACCUGCAGGCUUGUGUUUGAAAAGAGUAUGGAGAGCAUCUGCACCUCCAACAGCACCUGGAGCAACUGCAAGCAAGCAGGCUUAGCUGUGAAGGAAGGGAGCAGGCACGACACAACAGUGACACUGCUUGGCAGCAAGGAACAGAGAGGAGCUGAACCAGGACCCUCCGAAUGACAGCUGUGCUGACAAGCAGUCCUUGGAAGUGUGCGAGGAAAUGAUACGUGCCUGGCAGUCUUGCUGCUGCUCCUCCACUGCUGUGCCCUCUGUGCUGAAGAUCAUAAUGAAAUCCUAAGCAGGCAGAGAACCUCCUAAAAACCAGCAUCCAUUGUCCCUGAGGCCCUGAGCUCUGACAGGUGGUGGAUUGCCUUUCUGCUGGUGUUCAGAUGCCUGCAGUGCAGGAACCAGUAAAGAAGGCAUUCUGCUCCAGCCUGGGGCUACCAGAGAUGGAAUACAGCCUGCUGAUCCCAGCCUUGCAACUCUGGAUGUUACGUACUUCAGACUGAUUAUGGUUUCAGUAGAAACCACACAGAGUGCAGUAUUCACAUGGCCAACUUCCCCGUUAAAGAAAGGAUUGUUUGAUUCACCAUGCACAGUACGACUGGUCAAAAUUAUCUGUGGCUGAACUCCUCCUCACUCAGCAUCUCCUAGGUGACGGUGACUGCACGUACUCCAACGUAUUUUAAAAUAAAAUAUCCCAUGGUUACAAUUACCAGUUGAAUUAUGAGGAUAAUGGCAGUGUUUGGUAUCUCACAUAAAGAACUCCAGGAGGCCACUUGGAUUGUAAAUACUGUGCUUGUUAAUCCAAAUCAAAAAAAACCCACAUGGGACAGAAUUUAAAGUGCUGUAUGCAAUAUUUUCAUUUCUCUUGUCUAUCUGAACAGUACAAACAUCAAUGGAGCUGGUUUGGAGUUAAGAGAAAAGGGAAAAAACAUUCAAAAAUAUCCCAGAAUAAGAAAAAAAUAGCAUUUGGAGUCUUUUGAUGGAUCUUCCCAGGACUGCUGAAAAAUCAGGAUCUUCUAGAAUUGUAUUACUCAUUACAGGAAGAACAGAAGUAUUGCCUUACCGCUAGUAGUGGGCAUAUAAAUCUGAGGCAAGCACUCAUAAACGAAAAGGCAGCUGGGAUGUGCAUAAACGUGAGCCCGUGGGUUUGGUGACACGUAGCGAAGUGGUGCUUACAGUACAGGAGUACUGGGACAAGUGGGAGGAAUAAUGAUCUCCUGCUGCUGCUGCUGAGACAUAGCUGGAGCAUGAGCAUGGAGGAGGGAUAAGAGAUGUGUUCAGACAGAAGGCCUGCUCCUUCACCCAGCCCUCAGCUUCCUUUACCAG